rnacentral:lncRNA from 1 species
GUACAUGGGCAUUUCCACGGUAAUAGGGUACUUCUGUGUGUGAAAGAAUAAAGCGCUUACAGAAAAAUUAAAUAAAUAUCCUGUGGCUUUCUGUGUUUUUAUUUUCAUUGUUGAUGGUAUAAAGAAAUAAAAAAGACAAUUCCAUGCACUAAUAAUGUCAUUUGGUUGUGUUGUCCUCUUUUCUUUAAUGAUUAUUAUUAAAAAUUCCAAAGUACAAUCAGUAAAUGUUGAGUGGUGUGAUUUUGAGGGUGAUGCAAAUAAAAAUUCUAAAAAGAAAUUGAUGUUUCAUGUUUUGAAAAGAGAUUUUGAUGCGGGUGGAUUACGGCAUUGAUCAUAGUUACGGCGAUUGAGCUUUAAAGAGGGAGAGUGAGAGAGUUGAAAAUUACAUUGGCUGAAUGAGAGAUUCUGUCCACCUGUGUUACGUACGUUCAGAGUGAAUUUUCCCACAAUUAUUAGUUGUGUCACCCAACAGUUUUAUGUGCUUUGCAACUCUUUUGAUGAAGGUUGAAAUGUAGACCAAGAAAAAAAUCGUCAAAAUAAACGCAAAUAGAGAUAAAAUCUAUUCAAAAUUUGGAGUGCAAUAUUCGGUCCAACUCACGAACGUACGUAACAACUAAAAAACCGGACCGUGGCGUCCGCGAAUAUGACGCAUGGAUAAUCCACGUAUCAGUCAAGUGAACCAAGGCACUGCAACGUUUGAUUGUACUUGCAAUCCAUGCGCUGACUUCUACAAUCGCGGGGCCGUGUAGCUCUAUAUAACUUCUGUCCAGUUUGUGCGUACGUUCACGGUUGCUGGUAGUUAGAACGACACGUACGCACGUAUGACAGAACAUGUUUUCUGUCCUAUUUACGUACGUGUCGGACGUGAGCAGCAGACGACAUCCGAUCGUAAUUAGAUUAGGCUUUGAAAAUCGUGGAAUGGUGAAAGAUGUUGUGGGAGAAGAUCUUGUCAUCAAGUACAUGGCCGAGUCGGAGUCUCAUCCGGGGCUAUUUAUAUGGCCAGCACGUGAGGAUGUGUCUCGGGAAUGUAGAAAACAGAUAGUGAAGAAAAUGCCUAACCCUGUCCUUCGGGAAGACAUCAGCAGCACUAGAUUACAAUUUUUCACCUUUGCAGAACUCUCCCCAGAAUCAUGACUUGUUCCAUACAAUUUAUGAAUGUCUUAUUACUCAUAGAUUGGUUAAUAAUGAAUCGAGUCAUUCCAACUUCUUCAGAGAACUUGUGUAAAGUCCAGCACACCCGAUAUCGUCCCAAACCAUCGGUUUUAAAAUCCUUACAAUAUUCUCUGACUCUCGUGUAAGAGGAAAACCUAGAACUGCGUGUAUUGAUGUUAAAAAGGAGACAUGAUUAAAUGGCUGGAUCGUGCUAAUUUAUUGUUCUCACGUUGUACUUCAGUAAGGUUUUAAUCACCUCAAUAGACUUGUGUGUUAUGAAAACAAAUAAAAUUCAUGGAAAAUUGGCACAAAGACACAAUUAUUUACUGAAAAUAUUUAAUGAAUGCUCAAUUGAAUUGAUGCAUUAUAAUAUGCAAAAUAACCCAUUGAGUAUGCAGUGUCAAAUCUUUUUUGAAUUUCAGAUCUGAAUUACAUCAAAAUGAUUGUUAUAAAUACAUGUAUUUGAUUUGAACUUACUUGAAAUGAAUGAUCAUAAUUUUGAGCAAAAAUAGAAUUAAAUAGAGCAUUUAUGAAAAAUUAAGAAAUAUAAAAGGUAAAUAUCAUACACAUUGUAGUUAGCAGAUAAAAGAACUCUAGAAUAAAAGCAUACAAAUCCUGUAUAGACAAUUUGUAAUUAACGACAUGAUGUUUGUGAAAUAUCAAUGAAUAGUGUUUGCCUUUUAUUCUAUAUUGUGUCAACUACUUUCCCAGUCUUGAUGGGAAUUGAUUACAAGCUAAUGCUUACAUGUAGUGAAAUGCAUGCUCAAUAUUAUUGUUUAAUAGUCUGUUAUUAUUGGGCUCUGUGUCCGAGACACAUUUUGGCUACUGACUAUUAAAGACAUCACCUAGACUACUUUUAAAUUUGUAUAUAAGGUUUUGUGAAAUUUCAAUUUCAAUGAAAUGAUUAGUGUUUGCCUUUUAUUCUAUAUUGUGCCAACUUCUUUCCAUGUGACUAUAGUUACUAUCUUAUCAUUUUUAAAUUUGAAUUUGCAAUUCAGGUGUUCAUAAUUUUAUAAAUUUAUAUAAAUGGUUCAUCCAUGGACAAUUUAAGUUGUA